rnacentral:rRNA from 1 species
GGGGAAACCCUGAUCCAGCCAUCCCGCGUGUAGAUGAAGGCCUUCGGGUUGUAAAGUACUUUUGGCAGAGAAGAAAAGGUAUCUCUAAUACGAGAUACUGCUGACGGUAUCUGCAGAAUAAGCACCGGCUAACUACGUGCCAGCAGCCGCGGUAAUACGUAGGGUGCAAGCGUUAAUCGGAAUUACUGGGCGUAAAGCGUGUGUAGGGGUUCGGAAA